GCCACAUCAAGUUUUAAACACCGGUUCUCGUAUGAUCAUCGAAGUUAAACAACGUCAAGUCUGAUCAGUACCUAGAUGAGUGACUACUUGGGAAUACGAGGUACUGUU